rnacentral:rRNA from 1 species
AAUUAGAUCGCUGAAGGAGGAGGCUUGCUUUCUCCUGGAUGAGGUUGCGAACGGGUGAGUAAACGCGUAGGUAACCUGCCUGGUAGCGGGGGAUAACCUAUUGGAAACGAUAGCUAAUACCGCAUAAGAGUAGAUGUUGCAUGACAUUUGCUUAAAAGGUGCAAUUGCAUCACUACCAGAUGGACCUGCGUUGUAUUAGCUAGUUGGUGAGGUAACGGCUCACCAAGGCGACGAUACAUAGCCGACCUGAGAGGGUGAUCGGCCACACUGGGACUGAGACACGGCCCAGACUCCUACGGGAGGCAGCAGUAGGGAAUCUUCCGGCAAUGGACGGAACUCUGACCGAGCAACGCCGCGUGAGUGAAGAAGGUUUUCGGAUCGUAAAGCUCUGUUGUAAGAGAAGAACGAGUGUGAGAGUGGAUUUUCACACU